UACGUAGGUGGCAAGCGUUGUCCGGAAUUAUUGGGCGUAAAGCGCGCGCCAGGCGGUCCUUUAAGUCUGAUGUGAAAGCCCACGGCUCAACCGUGGAGGGUCAUUGGAAACUGGGGGACUUGAGUGCAGGAGAGAAGAGUGGAAUUCCACGUGUAGCGGUGAAAUGCGUAGAGAUGUGGAGGAACACCAGUGGCGAAAGCGGCCACCUGGACUGCACCUGACGCUGAAACGCGAAAGCUAGGGGAGCGAACGGG
rnacentral:rRNA from 1 species